AGUCUAGUCUGUGACCUGAGCCAUCAUGGUAGGGUGUCCAGGGUGAGGGGAGGGUGGUGUGAAUCCCCAGUAAUGCAGGUCCUUUCCAGGCCAGGCCCCUGGUCCCCAGGAGUGCGGGGAUGCCUGAGGUCUACUGCUGCCUUAUCCAGAGCUGCCAUCCCCGGCGAUGACUCAGAGUUCCUGUGGCCCCAGCAUCAUCCCUCCAUCCCUGGCUGUGAGGCAGGAGCAGAGUUGCAGACCUGAGAGGCCUUGAAUUUGUUUGAUAUAGGACUUUGCCACCAGACAAAGUGCUUUGCCUGUGAGGUCUGGCUUGGCCUGGCCUCUGAGAAAGAACAAACACAGACCUCACUGGAAGGAACCUGGAGAACGGGAGAGGAGAGGCUGCUGCUGUCUGCCCUCCCAGCAGCAGAUAUAAAGACAAUGGGCUUCUAAGUCCCCUAGAGUCCCAGCUGUGUAAUUUAAGGCGAGUUCAUCUCUCACAGCCUCAGUUUCCUCAUUUGCUGGCACCUGUCUUUCUCCUUCAUAGCCAUUGUCACUGUUGCAAUGAUAUCAACAAUGCUUACAUUUCAGAUAGAUCCCCAGCUGGGUUGAAAGGAACGUCAAGACCCUUCCUUUCUUAUGACCUAUGUAUCAACUCCCUUCUACCUUGCCUCCCUCCACUUGGAGCGAGUUCUAGUUGGUGAAAUGUAGCCAGAGGUUCCUGGAAAGGCUUUCCUUCUCAAGUAAAGCCUGGCUCAGAGAAAACCACUGGUCUCUUUCCUUUUCUUCCUCCUGACAUGAACAUGGGGCAGGAAGGAGCAUGGAGAAGACAAGAACAAGGCUCUCAGAAGGAAAUGGUGUGGCUGGAGCCAUGAGAACUGGUUGUGGAGGGGGCAAAUAUAAUUUCUGACCUACGUAAUGAUGUAUGCACAAGAAGCCUCUCUUGAAUGUAUUAAUUCAGUAAACAGUUAUGGAGUCCUUACAAUGUGCUAGUGGGACUUUGAAGAUGAAUCCAAAUUUGGAUCCUGGCCUGGAAAGGCUCAAAGCCCAAUAUGGGAGGUAAGAAAUGUAGAAUCCAUAUAACGAUGGGGUCUCCCCGCCCCUUAAGAUCUAGUUAUGAGUAGCUGCAAUUCCUGUGAAUUCCAAGGUAGUUUCACCACCUCAAGUUCACCUUUAGAUCUGACUUCUGGCUUCUUUUAGGAAGUUCCCAUCUCUAAAUCUCAUCUCUGUUCCUUUAUUUCUGCCAGCCUGGAUACAAAUGUGAAACUUAUCUUCUUUUAUUAACCAAUCAAUCACCUCCUGCCAAAACAACAUCAGCAAAAACAACAGAAAAAAACAAAAACAAAAACAAAAACAAAUCUGUGUACACAAGACCUUUGUUUCCACAGCAGACUUGGCUAAAGGUUUGGGCAUGCAUAUGCAUACCCCCAAAAUUAAAAAUGGAAAAUUGAA
rnacentral:lncRNA from 1 species